GCCUGGGUGGCUCAGUCAGUUAAGCAACUGACUUCGGCUCAGGUCAUGAUCUCACGGUUCGUGGGUUCAAGCCCCACAUCGGGCU
rnacentral:tRNA from 1 species